rnacentral:tRNA from 1 species
GCAGUGGUGGUUCAGUGAUAGCAUUCUUGCCUUCCAUGUGGGAGACCUGGGUUCAACUCCAGGCCAAUGCA